UUACGGCAAUAUCACGUUGAAACACCGGUUCUCGUACGAUCACCGAAGUUAAGCAACAUCUAGACUGGUCAGUAUCUAGAUGGGUGAAGGCUUUGGAAUAGAAAGUACUGUA